rnacentral:rRNA from 1 species
UUUAUGGAGAGUUUGAUCCUGGCUCAGGAUGAACGCUGGCGGCGUGCCUAAUACAUGCAAGUCGAGCGAACGGACGAGAAGCUUGCUUCUCUGAUGUUAGCGGCGGACGGGUGAGUAACACGUGGAUAACCUACCUAUAAGACUGGGAUAACUUCGGGAAACCGGAGCUAAUACCGGAUAAUAUUUUGAACCGCAUGGUUCAAAAGUGAAAGACGGUCUUGCUGUCACUUAUAGAUGGAUCCGCGCUGCAUUAGCUAGUUGGUAAGGUAACGGCUUACCAAGGCAACGAUGCAUAGCCGACCUGAGAGGGUGAUCGGCCACACUGGAACUGAGACACGGUCCAGACUCCUACGGGAGGCAGCAGUAGGGAAUCUUCCGCAAUGGGCGAAAGCCUGACGGAGCAACGCCGCGUGAGUGAUGAAGGUCUUCGGAUCGUAAAACUCUGUUAUUAGGGAAGAACAUAUGUGUAAGUAACUGUGCACAUCUUGACGGUACCUAAUCAGAAAGCCACGGCUAACUACGUGCCAGCAGCCGCGGUAAUACGUAGGUGGCAAGCGUUAUCCGGAAUUAUUGGGCGUAAAGCGCGCGUAGGCGGUUUUUUAAGUCUGAUGUGAAAGCCCACGGCUCAACCGUGGAGGGUCAUUGGAAACUGGAAAACUUGAGUGCAGAAGAGGAAAGUGGAAUUCCAUGUGUAGCGGUGAAAUGCGCAGAGAUAUGGAGGAACACCAGUGGCGAAGGCGACUUUCUGGUCUGUAACUGACGCUGAUGUGCGAAAGCGUGGGGAUCAAACAGGAUUAGAUACCCUGGUAGUCCACGCCGUAAACGAUGAGUGCUAAGUGUUAGGGGGUUUCCGCCCCUUAGUGCUGCAGCUAACGCAUUAAGCACUCCGCCUGGGGAGUACGACCGCAAGGUUGAAACUCAAAGGAAUUGACGGGGACCCGCACAAGCGGUGGAGCAUGUGGUUUAAUUCGAAGCAACGCGAAGAACCUUACCAAAUCUUGACAUCCUUUGACAACUCUAGAGAUAGAGCUUUCCCCUUCGGGGGACAAAGUGACAGGUGGUGCAUGGUUGUCGUCAGCUCGUGUCGUGAGAUGUUGGGUUAAGUCCCGCAACGAGCGCAACCCUUAAGCUUAGUUGCCAUCAUUAAGUUGGGCACUCUAAGUUGACUGCCGGUGACAAACCGGAGGAAGGUGGGGAUGACGUCAAAUCAUCAUGCCCCUUAUGAUUUGGGCUACACACGUGCUACAAUGGACAAUACAAAGGGCAGCGAAACCGCGAGGUCAAGCAAAUCCCAUAAAGUUGUUCUCAGUUCGGAUUGUAGUCUGCAACUCGACUACAUGAAGCUGGAAUCACUAGUAAUCGUAGAUCAGCAUGCUACGGUGAAUACGUUCCCGGGUCUUGUACACACCGCCCGUCACACCACGAGAGUUUGUAACACCCGAAGCCGGUGGAGUAACCUUUUAGGAGCUAGCCGUCGAAGGUGGGACAAAUGAUUGGGGUGAAGUCGUAACAAGGUAGCCGUAUCGGAAGGUGCGGCUGGAUCACCUCCUUU